GGGCCAUAAAACUUUUUUUUGAUCUUCGCGCUGCUAAUUGUUCGGCUUCUCUUUUAGGAUUGGCUGCCGUUCCUAUCCAUAAUAUAAUUAAAACAAACGAGGGAAAGGGUCCCCCCCUUCCAGCACCGACAGAGGUUAAUGCAAGUAUUUAACAAUGCUUUGCUUUCUGUGGGUAUUCACACGCUCCCUGCCUGAAAUAAGUUUCCCUUCGACUUAAGCAGCUCAACAGAAACCCUUUUUGAUCCAAUGGCUAGCCAAGCCUUGCCUGAAGCUUGGGGUGCUUACAAACUGAGUGCAAAAGUCACCUGAAAGAAGCCCCAGACAUUGCUGGCUGGAUCUUUCCUGUGGGCCUGGAGAGAGGGAGCCUUGGAGAGAGCCCAGCUGAUUAUUUGGGCGGGCUGCCCUUCUCCGAGCUGGAAGUCAAAGCGCAUCAAGGUGACCCUGCUUCUCUGCGUCCUGGAUGUCGGAGUGCUGCUCCCUAUCAGAGACUUCUGUGUGCAAGGUGCUGUGCAUUUGAAAGUGAAAUCCUUCUGCCUUGGCAGUCCCUGCUACCUGCAAAUAUAGGGUUAGGCUUAUAUGUUUUACUUUCUAACUUCCCUUAAUCCAUUUUUAUUUUGUUUUAGUCUUUUAAGAAAGGAAUUGAAGUUGGGGGAGAUACUUUAGUUUCCCUUUAACAUUGCAAGAUUAUAUUAUAUUACAAAUAACAUGCACAGAAACACACACAAUGUAUAUGAAAGGGACAUUGGGUUGUAGGGGAAAUGCAGUGUUUUGUAGCUUUUUAUUUUUUGGUUUCUUUUACAAUUCCAAAGAAUGGAAACUUAAAGACUAAUAAAAUGACACAGGUCAAAGAAGCAUGCCACUUUUUUGUAUUUUCUGACAAAUCAACUCUCAUCAGCUUGCUUCAGUCACCUCUGAUUUUUAAGGUAGGGAUUGACAAAUGUGUUUUGAUACAAUUAUUUCAAAGUCUUACAGCAAACAAACAAAAAAUGUGUGUGUGGGGGGGAUGUACAGGAAAGCAGAAAUAUAUUGUACCAUAACAAUAUUGUUCAGUGCAGCUUUAGCUCUCCAAGAUGCAAACCAAGUCCCAUUUGCACCCAAAAAACCUUGUGCAAAGCGGUCUUAUCCAUGCCUAUUCAGAAACAAAUUCAUUCCUUCAUUCCUUCAUUCCUUCAUACUCUGCCCUUCCACCAGGAAAAUAGACCCAAGGCGACAAUUUCUGCGCCCCCUUUCUCCCACACAUGCCUCCUCACCCCUCCCACUUCCAAGCAGCUCACAGAUAUAAUAAAAUGAGAGUGACAUGUGCAAUAGGAUUUAUGCAGCCACUGCAGCAUAAUAUCCAUCUGAUAGUUCUGGUUCGCAGUGAGAAUAAAAGUUUGUGUUUGGAGGUAUAACUGGUCAAACAGAAAAGAGGUUCAGGCACCCGGUCUCCUAAUGCAGCCACUGGCUGGUGGCUGUUUUCCCCUCUCACACUCAAAUGGAGUUGUCCCUCAUGUUUUUGCACCUGGUUUGUCCUUAGAGAAUCGUUUGGCCAAUGAGCCGGUGAAAGAGCACUCCAGUUUAUAAACCGAAUCUCCCUGGCACCUAAGAUGGCAGUUCUGAGCAAGCCCAUUAUAGCCACUGGGACCGGAAUCCGAGAGUAUAUGGAGGUGAGCCUCAAGUGCAGUAUGCUGGUCGACCCCUCAUCCAGAAGAGGCUGAAUUGACAGCACUUGAGAAAUAAGAUCAGUCAUUCAGGGAACUAUUCUGGGUAUGAAUGCUAAAAUCAACAGAAAUCAGUGAAGCUUGCAUCGAAUCUCAAUCCUAAGAAUAUUUAUUCAGAUAUAACUUCUGGUUUCACA